AGAAGCACUGGCUAACUCUGUGCCAGCAGCCGCGGUAAUACAGAGAGUGCAAGCGUUAAUCGGAAUCACUGGGCGUAAAGCGCACGUAGGUGGAUAUUUAAGUCGGAUGUGAAAGCCCUGAGCUUAACCUGGGAAUUGCACCUGAUACUGGGUAUCUUGAGUAUGGUAGAGGGAAGUGGAAUUUCCGGUGUAGCGGUGAAAUGCGUAGAUAUCGGAAAGAACACCAGUGGCGAAGGCGACUUCCUGGACCAAUACUGACACUGAGGCGCGAAAGCGUGGGGAGCAAACAGGAUUAGAGACCCUGGUAGUCCACGCCGUCAACGAUGAGAACUAGCUGUUGGGAAGUUCACUUCUUAGUAUCGAAGCUAACGCGUUAAGUUCUCCGCCUGGGGAGUACGGCCGCAAGGUUAAAACUCAAAGAAAUUGACGGGG
rnacentral:rRNA from 1 species